AUCCAUCGGCAGAGACUCAAAAUUCUGGACGUACUCCCUGUUCUGCAUCUUUCUCGAGGGUGACUAUGGUGGAAUCGGUUAACUGUACUUCUUUUAUUCUCUAGAUCAAUUAGGGUUGGACAGUCAGGUGGACCAAGCAUGCAACUCUCUUUAAGUCCUGAAGUCGUAUCUAUUGUACAGCCCCUAUUACCCUGCAUUCAGAAACUAUUAGAUGAGCUAACAUACUUGCAUUUUUCUGCUUAGUGCGUCAACUACUCUAUUGCCAUUGCCCGGGUUACACAAGAUAUAACAAUCAUAAUCCUUGAGGAGCUCUAUCCAACGCCUCUUACGUAUGU
rnacentral:lncRNA from 1 species